GGGAGAACAAAGUAUUCAGAAACUACAAGAAGUGAUCAUAAAGUUUAUCAAGGGUGCGUAUCAAAGACUGAUACGAGAGCUCCUCUAUCUUCACAAUAUUAUUAACCCAAGUUUCAUGUCCUAUUACAAUCUAAAGAUAGGUAGCAUACACGCUAUUGAUACUAGGACGACAGACAUAAACAGAACGGAGGAUGGAAAACUACCCUUAUCACUCCGGAGAAAGAGUGCUUCAUACACUGGCACAUUCACUAGAACUAUUAAUCC
rnacentral:misc_RNA from 1 species